rnacentral:rRNA from 1 species
UGAGGCACGAAAGCGUGGGGAGCAAACAGGAUUAGAUACCCUGGUAGUCCACGCCGUAAACGAUGAGUACUAAGUGUUGGGUUAAACCAGUGCUGAAGUUAACACAUUAAGUACUCCGCCUGAGUAGUACGUACGCAAGUAUGAAACUUAAAGGAAUUGACGGGACUCCGCACAAGCGGUGGAUCAUGUUGUUUAAUUCGAAGAUACACGAAAAACCUUACCAGGUCUUGACAUACUCUGCAAAGCUAUAGAAAUAUAGUGGAGGUUAUCAGGGAUACAGGUGGUGCAUGGUUGUCGUCAGCUCGUGUCGUGAGAUGUUGGGUUAAGUCCCGCAACGAGCGCAACCCUUAUCACUAGUUACCAUCAUUUAGUUGGGCACUUUAGUGAGACUGCCAAUGAUAAAUUGGAGGAAGGUGGGGAUUACGUCAAAUCAUCAUGCCCCUUAUGACCUGGGCUACAAACGUGAUACAAUGGCUGUUACA